GCGAACUGCAUUUUUCAUCCGCUCCACAAGGCGGCAGAAGCGCCUUUCAGAGACGUCGAAUCCCCGACUGAUCAGAAGACGUAGAAACCUGGGAAGAAAACACAACAGUUCGCGUCAAUAGUAAGAGAGGUGUUGAACAGAAGCAGAGCCCUGGAGCGUGAGGACAGACAUUGACCGCAAUGAAGGACGUGUGCUGAAGGACGGGACUCAUUUUCAAUGAUGCCAACCUUCCUUUUUCGUGUUCAGACUGAAGUACAUUAAAGUGGAUCUGUUUUGUCUUUUGCGAAAGGAAGAAGACAAGCGUCAAGUGAUUUC